rnacentral:rRNA from 1 species
UACGAAGGGGGCUAGCGUUGCUCGGAAUUACUGGGCGUAAAGCGCACGUAGGCGGCUUCUUAAGUCGGUGGUGAAAUCCUGGAGCUCAACUCCAGAACUGCCUUCGAUACUGGCGAUCUUGAGUCCGGAAGAGGUGAGUGGAACUCCUAGUGUAGAGGUGGAAUUCGUAGAUAUUAGGAAGAACACCAGUGGCGAAGGCGGCUCACUGGUCCGGUACUGACGCUGAGGUGCGAAAGCGUGGGGAGCAAACAGGG